GACGAACGCUGGCGGCGUGCUUAACACAUGCAAGUCGAACGAUGAAGCUGGAGCUUGCUCCGGUGGAUUAGUGGCGAACGGGUGAGUAACACGUGAGCAAUCUGCCCUUCACCCUGGGAUAACUGCGGGAAACUGUAGCUAAUACCGGAUACGAGACCUUGGGGCAUCCCAGGGUCUGGAAAGAAUUUCGGUGAGGGAUGAGCUCGCGGCCUAUCAGCUAGUUGGUGAGGUAAUGGCUCACCAAGGCGACGACGGGUAGCCGGCCUGAGAGGGUGACCGGCCACACUGGGACUGAGACACGGCCCAGACUCCUACGGGAGGCAGCAGUGGGGAAUAUUGCACAAUGGGCGAAAGCCUGAUGCAGCAACGCCGCGUGAGGGAUGAAGGCCUUCGGGUUGUAAACCUCUUUUAGUAGGGAAGAAGCGCAAGUGACGGUACCUACAGAAAAAGCACAGGCUAACUACGUGCCAGCCGCCGCAGUAA
rnacentral:rRNA from 1 species